GCCCUANGAGUUGAUUCCUGGCUCAGAUUGAACGCUGGCGGCAGGCCUAACACAUGCAAGUCGAACGGUAACAGGAAGCAGCUUGCUGCUUCGCUGACGAGUGGCGGACGGGUGAGUAAUGUCUGGGAAACUGCNUGAUGGAGGGGAUAACUACUGGAAACGGUAGCUAAUACCGCAUAACGUCGCAAGACCAAAGAGGGGGACCUUCGGGCCUCUUGCCAUCGGAUGUGCCCAGAUGGGAUUAGCUAGUAGGUGGGGUAACGGCUCACCUAGGCGACGAUCCCUAGCUGGUCUGAGAGGAUGACCAGCCACACUGGAACUGAGACACGGUCCAGACUCCUACGGGAGGCAGCAGUGGGGAAUAUUGCACAAUGGGCGCAAGCCUGAUGCAGCCAUGCCGCGUGUAUGAAGAAGGCCUUCGGGUUGUAAAGUACUUUCAGCGGGGAGGAAGGCGGUGAGGUUAAUAACCUCAUCGAUUGACGUACCCGCAAAAAGCACCGGAACU
rnacentral:rRNA from 1 species